rnacentral:rRNA from 1 species
GCUCAAAUUUGAAAUCCCCCCGGGGAGUUGUAAUUUGAAGAUUGCGUCUUGGAGGCGACCGUGUCUAUGUUCCUUGGAACAGGACGUCACAGAGGGUGAGAAUCCCGUGCGGCACGGCCCCCGGCUCCUUAUAAGGCGCUCUCGACGAGUCGAGUUGUUUGGGAAUGCAGCUCAAAGUGGGUGGUAAAUUCCAUCUAAAGCUAAAUACAGGCGAGAGACCGAUAGCGAACAAGUACAGUGAUGGAAAGAUGAAAAGCACUUUGAAAAGAGAGUGAAACAGCACGUGAAAUUGUUGAAAGGGAAGGGCAUGCCGUCAGAUUGUCAGUGUGGGUAAGAAGCGGGGUACAAAGACUGUGGAACGUGGCCCUCGGGUGUUAUAGCCGCAGUUCAUGCCCCGUCUCUUUCCGAGGCCUGCUUUGAGGACACCGACGUAAUGACGGUACGCCGCCCGUCUUGAACCACGGAC